rnacentral:rRNA from 1 species
CCCUUCGGGGAGCCUAUACAGGUGUUGCAUGGCUGUCGUCAGCUCGUGUCGUGAGAUGUUCGGUUAAGUCCGCUAACGAGCGCAACCCUCGUCGUAUGUUAUAUGUGUCAUACGAGACUGCCGGUAAAAGCCGGAGGAAGGUGAGGAUGAUGUCAAGUCAGCAUGACCUUUAUAUCCAGGGCUACACACACGCUACAAUGGUCUGUACAAUGGGUAGCCAAGCCGCGAGGCGGAGCCAAUCCUGAAAGCAGGCCUCAGUUCAGAUUGCAGUCUGCAACUCGACUGCAUGAAGCCGGAGUUGCUAGUAACCGCAGGUCAGCAAUACUGCGGUGAAUACGUUCCCGGGUCUU